CUUGAGAUUAGUACUAUUUUGCUGUAAUCUUGUGUAAGGUCGAGGCACUUCCCCAGUCGGGUUGCUUCAGAUUGUGAACAGGAUAUUUCCUGCUGUGCCUUACCUCAGUUUAACUCAGUUUACUUGAACUAAUAAAAACGACCUAUUGUGCAAUAUUUGAUUAAUAAAUAAACUUUAUUUUUUGGAACAAA